GUAAUUUUUUAUUGUGUAAAAAAAGUAAUUUUUAUUUUAUUAGUAAGUAUGAAUAAAUUAAUUUAAUUAUAGUGAAUUAGUAUGGAAAAAGAUUUAUAUUUAAUUUAUUUAAAGAAAAAUUUAAUUUUUGUACCUUGUGUAUCAGGGUUUAUUAAAAAAUAUUUAUUAAUUUAAAUUUCUCGAACUUAAAAGAUCUAUAUUAAUAUAGUUUUUAUUGUAAAAUAAAUAUUGUCCAUAUUAAUMWARAAGUGAAACAUUAUUCGAUUUUAAAUAUAUCUAGUUUUUAAAGAAAAAAAUUCAAUUUUAUUUUUAUUUAAAUAUUAAUUUAAAUUAAUAAAUUAAUAUUAAUAAAAUUUUAUAUUGCAGGGGAUGAGCUUUGUAAUAAAAAAAUAAAAAUUAUUUUUUAUUAUUUUAAUAAGUAGAAUUAUAAGUUUUUAUCUUUAAUAGUGUUUUAUAACUAUUUAGAUAGUAAAUAUUAUUUAUAUAUAUAUAAUUUUAUAUUUUUUAUUUAAAUAUAGGUUUUAAUAUAAAAGAUCUAGUAAUAAUGAUAAAAUUAGUAUAAUACUUUGUUUAUAAAAUUUAUAUUUUUUAGGUUUUAUAAAGGAAUUCGGCAAAUACAUUUUUCACCUGUUUAUCAAAAACAUGUCCUUUUGAUUUAAAUUUAAGGUCUAACCUGCUCAAUGAAUUUUAAAUAGCCGCAGUAUACUGACUGUGCAAAGGUAGCAUAAUCAUUAGUUUUUUAAUUGAAAGCUGGAAUGAAGGGUUGAAUGAGAAAAUAGCUGUCUCUAUAAAAAUUUUAUAGAAUUUUAUUUUUAAGUCAAAAAGCUUAAAUUUAAAUAAAAGACGAGAAGACCCUAUAGAGUUUUAUACUUAUAAAAAAUAUUUUUUAUUUUAGUUAUUUUAAAACUUAUUUUUUUAUAGUAUUUGGUUGGGGUGAUUGGAAAAUUUAAUAAACUUUUCUUUAAAAAUUUACAUUUGUAUAUGAAAAUAUGAUCCUUGAAUAGAGAUUAUAAGAUAAAAUUACCUUAGGGAUAACAGCGUAAUUUUUUUUGAGAGUUCUUAUCGAAAGAAAAGAUUGCGACCUCGAUGUUGGAUUAAAAUAAAUAUUUGGUGUAGAAGCUAAAUCAAUUAGGUCUGUUCGACCUUUAAAAUUUUACAUGAUCUGAGUUCAAACCGGUGUAAGCCAGGUUGGUUUCUAUCUUUAUUUAGUUAAAAUAUUUUAGUACGAAAGGAUCAAAUAUUUAGUUUAUAAUUUUUUUAUUGAAUAUU
rnacentral:rRNA from 1 species